GGGCGCUUGAGACUAUCUGUCUCUGGCGCGCUGGAGCAGAUAGAAGAAAGCCCCGAGUGAUCUUUCAAUCAACCCGAGGCCUAUCCUUAUGCUCAACAACAUAAGAUUAGCCUCUUACACGCCGAAAGGCAAGGAGACGCUAACCAUG
rnacentral:antisense_RNA from 1 species